AGGAUUUUGACAGCGGCGGUAAUUUUGUUUUGCUAAAUAAAAAAAAAUCGGUCUGCAUCAACAUUUUCCGAUGCUUUUUCAUCAAAUCAAUCAUCUACAGUGCUCGGAUAUGAUCAAAACGCGACAUGAUCCCUUCCACAAGGCUGUAAAGGAGGAAGGAAUCACUUAGCCAGAAUCCCGUAAUGCGAGCUGCAGGACAUUCCAACUGGUGGUCGACGGUAAGAUUGCAGCAUUCUGGUGGAGUGUUAAGUGAUAUUAAGUGUUUUUAUUUCUAAAAUUAUGAUUGUGGCUGAUUUAAUAAUAAAUAUGUAAACAAAAACAA